CUUCCUUUAGAAAUUGAAAGAGGAGGAGAGGAGGAGAGACCCACAGUUGAUCUCUGAGAAGUGAGUAGCUGGAGGCACCAGGAUACCAGCCAAGCCUAAAGGAUAAAGCAAAUCCCUGGACAUGGCUUUUGAUUCCAAGCUAAGAAGUGCAAGUAUUAACAGCAUCAGUCACAGUAGCUGAGUAUCUCCUGUGAGCUUCCAUAGGAAUUGAGCUUGUCUUUACAAGAAGCUCUUCCAAAUACAACUGCAACUGCCAAGAGAUUGAUGGACCAGAGAAUGGCCUCUUCAUUCCAGGCACUUCUAAAGUCCAAGUGGUCAAAUACCAGCCUCUUUUUACCAAUGUUCCCACCUGUUUCAUUCAGCCAAAUUUCAUUAGAUGAAGGAAGGUGGUGCAUUCUUGAGAUUGAGAAUACAGAUGAGAAGCAGGUUUGAAUGGUGAAGAAAUGAUGGACGCUGUUUGUCUCAAACAAGGACUCUAAUGAUACAACAGAACAAGUCACAAGAAAGCUUGCCUGGAAAACCAUACACUGGCCUCUUCGUGGUGAAGUCCUUCACAAUCCUUACAAACAUAGAAAAUAUUCAGCAAUUCGUUUGUUUGUUUUCCAGUCCACUCUUACUUGAGAAAAAUGCAAAACAUCAAAGACACAGAAAAACCACCAGUCUAUACAGCUUGCCCAUACUAAAUUGUUAUUCAUUUCAGAAGAGUGUACAGUUUCUUUCUGUAAGACUCUAUUAAACCAGUUACUCUACAAUAGCAAACAUUUUAGGCAAACCUAACCAUUGCUUCCCAUAAAGAUAUUUAUAUCUUUAAGUGGUAUCUGAUUCAUCCCUAAGAAAUAUGUUAUCAAGAUGUUUGUUUGUUUGUUUGUUUGUUCAUUUGUUUUUGAGAUGGAGUUUCACUCUUGUUGCCCAGGCUGGAGUGCAGUGGCAUGAUCUCGGUUCACUGCAACCUCUGCCUCCCGGUUCAAGCGAUUCUCCUGCCUCAGCCUCCCGAGUAGCUGGGAUUACUGGCACCCACCACCACUCCCAGCUAAUUUUUUGUAUUUUUAAUAGAGACGGGGUUUCACCAUGUUGGCCAGGCUGGUCUCAAACUCCUGACCUCAGGUGAUCCACUUGCCUCGACCUCCCAAAGUGCUGGGAUAACAGGCAUGAGCCAUUGCACCCGGCCGAAGAUUUUUGUUUUGACUGUUUUUUUCUGAACUACAGGGAAACGAAGGCUUUUAUGUUAUUGUCCCCCUUUUCUCACUAACUGGACUUCCUGUGACACGUGAAGACGCUAUGCAUGUUUAAUAAAUACACUUUGAAUUUAAUGCUCAAGGAAGAUAA
rnacentral:lncRNA from 1 species